CCUAAAAUCUAGCCCACCCCACCCCAUAACUUAUAUAUUAAAAUAAAACAUUUUUAUUUUCUAGUAAAGGUGAUUGAAAAAAUCGUAGACGCUUCAGACCCAGUACCGCAAGGGAACGAUGAAAUAUUAAUGAAAUAUUAAAGCCCCGCACAGCAAAGCUUAACUCUUGUACCUUUUGCAUCAUGGUUAUUCAAGUCCGAUCAGACAAAACCCAACCUUAAGCCUGCCCCCCCGAAACCGAGUGAGCUACUUUAAAAUAAUCUUAAGGAUGAACCCGUCUCUGUUGCAAAAGAGUGGGAAAAUUUUAAAGUAGAAGUGAAAAGCUUAUCGAACCCGGAGAUAGCUGGUUAUUCAAGAAAAGAAUUUUAGUUCUACCUUAAGUUUACUUAUUGAUACAAAACAACACCCAAACUUAAGAGCUAUUCAAAUAAGGAACAGCUUAUUUGACUCAGGACACAACCUCAUAUAAAGGGUAAUAUAUUAAAUACUUAUCAGGUUGGCCUAAGAGCAGCCNNAAAAGCGUCAAAGCCCACCACCACCUAAUUUCAUUAAUUCCUUAUAUUCUCAUCAACCCUCUACCCGUAUUGAACGACCCCAUAAACUAUGGAAGCCACCCUGUUUGAACUAGUAAUAAGAAUCUGAAAUUCUCCCAGAUGUAAACAUAAGCCGCCCAAUCGGACACCCCAACGGCAAUUAAAGUAAAUUGAACCUAUUGCAAUAACAUAUAAAAAAAAUUUGCAACAACAAACGUUAACCUAACACAAGAACAUCCCGGGAAAGAUUAAAAAAGAAAGAAGGAACUCGGCAAACUCAUAAACCCCGCCUGUUUACCAAAAACAUCGCCUCUUGAUAAGUUAUAAGAGGUCCAGCCUGCCCAAUGAUUAAUUAAAUGGCCGCGGUACCCUAACCGUGCAAAGGUAGCAUAAUAACUUGUCCUUUAAUUGGGGACUAGCAUGAACGGCACCACGAGGGUUGAACUGUCUCCUCUCUUUAAUCAAUGAAACUGACCUCCCCGUGAAAAGGCGGGGAUUUUUAUACAAGACGAGAAGACCCCAUGGAGCUUUAGACCUAAAGCACAUUCUACCAUCAAUUUCACCAAAAUCCAGAAUCUCUGACUCCAAGUCUUAGGUUGGGGCGACCAUGGAGUAUAACUUAACCUCCAUUUCGAACGGACAAAAUCCUAAUCUAAGAACCACAAUUCAAAGAAUCAAAAAACUGACGCCCACUGACCCAAAAAUUUGACCAUCGAACCAAGUUACCCUGGGGAUAACAGCGCUAUCCACCUCAAGAGCCCAUAUCGACAGGUGGGUUUACGACCUCGAUGUUGGAUCAGGGUAUCCAUGUGGUGCAGCCGCUACAUAAGGU
rnacentral:rRNA from 1 species